ensembl:lncRNA
GAGAGAGAGAGUGUGUCUGAGAGAGUGUGUGAGAGAGAGAGUGUGUGUGUCUGAGAGAGUGUGAGAGAGAGAGAGAGUGUGUCUGAGAGAGUGUGAGAGAGAGAGAGAGAGUGAGUGUAGUGUAAAAGAAUCGAAAGCUCUGAAAAGUGAAUGUAACAGUUACAAAAAUAGAGACUUUUGACUUAUUCCACGCCUGCCACCCGUAUCCUCCCUCCAGACCUAGCCCAGGGGAAGUGUCACACUGGUGCCAAAACCUGGGACGGAGGAGGAUCACCGCCCUGGAGAUAAUGUUAAUUCCAUGUUAAUUCCCUUGCCGGCCUCCACGCUCCUGAAGCUCUUCGAGGGUGCUGCGGACGCGGGGGCUGGCCAGUGUCAAGUGGGCGGUCCUCCUGCUGCCACUAUUGUCGGGGAAGCCCAGCUCGCAACCCAACAGCUUCCGGUCCGUGAACCUGCUGCAGUACCUGGACUUAAAGUGGGCCAUUUUGCAACAGGUUGGCCACACCCCGAACAACACAAUCAGCACUUCUGCUCGCUGACGUUCCGUGAGCUCGGCGCCUGUUCACAUUUACCCAACGGCUCUGAGACACCUGUAGUGGACCUCAUGGUGCUGGAGUGGUUCGUUGCCCGACUACUGCUAGGUAUGGCGGAGUGGGUCCAGUGCACCAUCUGGCGUCGCUAGAUGAGGCAAUCCAGCUGGUGGAGGACCAUUUGGUGGUGUUUCC